GCUCUGUUGUUAGGGAAGAACAAGUGCGAGAGUAACUGCUCGCACCAUGACGGUACCUAACCAGAAAGCCACGGCUAACUACGUGCCAGCAGCCGCGGUAAUACGUAGGUGGCAAGCGUUGUCCGGAAUUAUUGGGCGUAAAGGGCUCGCAGGCGGUUUCUUAAGUCUGAUGUGAAAGCCCCCGGCUCAACCGGGGAGGGUCAUUGGAAACUGGGAAACUUGAGUGCAGAAGAGGAGAGUGGAAUUCCACGUGUAGCGGUGAAAUGCGUAGAGAUGUGGAGGAACACCA
rnacentral:rRNA from 1 species